rnacentral:misc_RNA from 1 species
GUGAAUCAUCGAAUCUUUGAACGCAAAUUGCACUCUCCUCGGAGAGUAUGCCUGUUUGAGGGUCAGCCUAUAAAAAAUCGACAUCGUUGCUGUUUCGCGGUGGCGUUCGUCGGAAAUUGGGUCAUCUUAAAUCUUUUGGUUUUAAGCGACUUAAAAUUUUCUUUUUGGUUCCAUGAACGUUUCUAAGAUUUAUUUCUUUACACGUUUAAGGUAUCGAUUUUUUUUAGGAGUUACCAUCCAUACGGGUUCGGCCCAU